GACGAACGCUGGCGGCGUGCUUAACACACGCAUGUCGAACGGAAAGGCCCUGCUCUUGUGGGGUGCUCGAGUGGCGAACGGGUGAGUAACACGUGAGUAACCUGCCCUUGACUUUGGGAUAACUCCAGGUAACUGGGGCUAAUACCGGAUAGGAGCUCCUGCUGCAUGGUGGGGGUUGGAAAGUUUCGGCGGUUGGGGAUGGACUCGCGGCUUAUCAGCUUGUUGGUGGGGUAGUGGCUUACCAAGGCUUUGACGGGUAGCCGGCCUGAGAGGGUGACCGGCCACAUUGGGAAUGAAAUGCGGCCCAAACUCCUACGGGAGGCAGCAGUGUGGAAGAGUGCACAAUGGGCGGAAGCCGGAUGCAGCAACGCCGCGUGCGGGAUGACGGCCUUCGGGUUGUAAACCGCUUUCACCUGUGACGAAGCGUAAGUGACGGUAAUGGGUAAAGAAGCACCGGCUAACUACGUG
rnacentral:rRNA from 1 species